CCCGCUGAACUUAAGCAUAUCAAUAAGCGGAGGAAAAGAAACUAACAAGGAUUCCCCUAGUAACUGCGAGUGAAGCGGGAAAAGCUCAAAUUUAAAAUCUGGCGGCCUCGCGGCCGUCCGAGUUGUAAUCUGGAGAAGCGUCUAUCCGCGUCGGACCGUGUACAAGUCUUCUGGAAGGGAGCGUCGUAGAGGGUGAGAAUCCCGUCUUUGACACGGACAACCGAUGCUUUUGCGAUGCGCUCUCGAAGAGUCGAGUUGUUUGGGAAUGCAGCUCAAAAUGGGUGGUAAAUUCCAUCUAAAGCUAAAUAUUGGCGAGAGACCGAUAGCGAACAAGUACCGUGAGGGAAAGAUGAAAAGCACUUUGGAAAGAGAGUUAAACAGUACGUGAAAUUGUUGAAAGGGAAACGUUUGAAGUCAGUCGCGUCGGCCGAGACUCAACCUUGCUCUCUGCUCGGUGCACUUCUCGGUUGACGGGUCAGCAUCAAUUUCGACCGCCGGACAAAGGUCAAGGGAAUGUGGCAUCCUUCGGGAUGUGUUAUAGCCCUUGAUUCGCAUACGGCGAUUGGGAUUGAGGAGCUCGGCGCUUCACGCGUCCAGGAUGCUGGCAUAAUGGCUUUAAGCGACCCGUCUUGAAACACGG
rnacentral:rRNA from 1 species